rnacentral:misc_RNA from 1 species
GCGAGUUAACUAAACUCCAAACCCAUGUGAACAUACCUAUCGUUGCCUCGGCAGGCUGCGCCUUCGGGCGGCUGUUACCCUGUAGAAGGAGCUACCCUGUAGCUACCCUAUAGCUGGUGAGCUACCCUGUAAGCUGCGCCUCAAGGCCUGCCGACGGACCCCUAAACUCUGAAUUUACUGUAUCUCUGAGUAUAAUACAAAAAUAAGUUA